GGAGCUCGAGGAGACCAUGCGGAGAGAGUAUCCGCAUCUAUUUGAGUCGACGAGUUGAGGUAUGCGUAAUUUCGCGGACGAAAUUAUUUAAGGGGUGGAGAAUGUAAUAUACCGAAAAUUCAGAAAAUAAAUAUCGAACUUUGGUCAAAUUGACCAAAGUCCGAGGAUGGUACACUUCGGAAAGUCCGAAGGUGUUAAAAUGAGUAAAAGUGAGUUGUGAAAGGUUUUUGAGAGCUAAGGAAUCAAAAAUCUGCAAACUACAAUUUUUGAGAU
rnacentral:lncRNA from 1 species